CCUGGCUCAGAUUGAACGCUGGCGGCAGGCCUAACACAUGCAAGUCGAGCGGUAACAUUGAUAGCUUGCUAUCAGAUGGCGAGCGGCGGACGGGUGAGUAAUGCUUGGAAAUCUGCCUGAUAGAGGGGGACAACCACGGGAAACUGUGGCUAAUACCGCAUAAUCUAUACGUAGCAAAGUGGGGGACCUUCGGGCCUCACGCUAUCAGAUGAGUCCAAGUGGGAUUAGCUAGUUGGUGAGGUAAGAGCUCACCAAGGCGACGAUCUCUAGCUGGUUUGAGAGGAUGAUCAGCCGCACUGGAACUGAGACACGGUCCAGACUCCUACGGGAGGCAGCAGUGGGGAAUAUUGCACAAUGGGUGCAGGCCUGAUGCAGCCAUGCCGCGUGUGUGAAGAAGGCCUUCGGGUUGUAAAGCACUUUCAGUCGCGAGGAAGGGCUAUUAGUUAAUAACUGAUAGCAUUGACGUUAAUGACAGAAGAAGCACCGGCUAACUCCGUGCCAGCAGCCGCGGUAAUACGGAGGGUGCGAGCGUUAAUCGGAAUCACUGGGCGUAAAGCGCAUGCAGGCGGUUUGCUAAGCGAGAUGUGAAAGCCCCGGGCUUAACCUGGGAACUGCAUUUCGAACUGGCGAACUAGAGUCUUGUAGAGGGGGGUAGAAUUUCAGGUGUAGCGGUGAAAUGCGUAGAGAUCUGAAGGAAUACCAGUGGCGAAGGCGGCCCCCUGGACAAAGACUGACGCUCAGAUGCGAAAGCGUGGGGAGCAAACAGGAUUAGAUACCCUGGUAGUCCACGCCGUAAACGAUGUCAACUAGUUGUCUGUGUCUUUAAGACGUGGGUAACGGAGCUAACGCAUUAAGUUGACCGCCUGGGGAGUACGGCCGCAAGGUUAAAACUCAAAUGAAUUGACGGGGGCCCGCACAAGCGGUGGAGCAUGUGGUUUAAUUCGAUGCAACGCGAAGAACCUUACCAUCCCUUGACAUCCACAGAAGGUCUUAGAGAUAGGACUGUGCCUUCGGGAACUGUGAGACAGGUGCUGCAUGGCUGUCGUCAGCUCGUGUUGUGAAAUGUUGGGUUAAGUCCCGCAACGAGCGCAACCCUUAUCCUUAUUUGCCAGCGAUUCGGUCGGGAACUCUAAGGAGACUGCCGGUGAUAAACCGGAGGAAGGUGGGGACGACGUCAAGUCAUCAUGGCCCUUACGGGAUGGGCUACACACGUGCUACAAUGGUAUGUACAGAGGGAAGCGAACUUGCGAGAGUAAGCGGAGCCCUUAAAGCAUAUCGUAGUCCGGAUUGGAGUCUGCAACUCGACUCCAUGAGGUCGGAAUCGCUAGUAAUCGCGGAUCAGAAUGCCGCGGUGAAUACGUUCCCGGGCCUUGUACACACCGCCCGUCACACCAUGGGAGUGGGUUGCUCCAGAAGUGGCUAGUCUAACCUUCGGGAGGACGGUCACCACGGAGUGAUUCAUGACUGGGGUGAAGUCGUAACA
rnacentral:rRNA from 1 species